GCGCGGAUCGGUAUCACCGUGACAAAGCUCCACACACCACAUAUUGGGAACAAUCAAAAUUUUGAACUUGGCUAAUUGUUACCGGCUGAAACUGGACCGCAUUCUUGAUUCUAGCCAAGUGCCAAAAUUGAAAGUGUUCCACUGUCUCAGGCCAAGUGAUUGAUAAGACCUUCACACCACUUGAGUUGAUUCUUCAAGUCGUGGAGCGAUUGGAUUCCCAUUCUUUAGUAGCGUUUUGACUAAUAAAACCGAGUCAACCCAGAUUCAGAAACAAACAACCACGUGCUCUAGUAAUUCCAGAGUAACUUGUUUUUAUGGCUCCAAAGUUUAUUCACAAGACCGGUGGCUAAGUUAAGGCAUCUGCAGCUCAAGCUUAAGUUGAAUGACAUAAAGCCUAGAGGCUCUCAUGAUACAGUGAGGCUUACCCCCAUGCAACCUGUCUGAGCUCGGUUUAUUAAUCAACGCAUCUUGUCUGAGUCACUUGAAGCAAUCAAUUUGAAGAAGGAAGUAGAAUUCGAGUCCGAUGUACGCAAGUGAUUCAAAUAAGAAAGAUUUCGAAGAAAUCGUGAAUGAUUUCCUCAGUAAAUGAUCUAUUCCGGAAAAGAUACAAAUGUUUUGUGAUGAGUUUGUUGCUAACCGCAACAAAUUUAUCGAAAUAAACUACUAAAUGC